rnacentral:lncRNA from 1 species
AAGGAGUGGCAUGCGGCCCGAAAGAAAGAAGCAAAGAGAGAGAAGGGAAUUGAAAUCACGCAGAAUUAAGUGGUAGUCUCAUCGUCUCCUCCAAACCAAAGCACCCCCUUCUCAGAGCCAAACCAUCAGCGAACGAGCCCUCACUGAAAAUCAAAUUUCACUUUGAUCCGAAGAAGAAGAAAUUCUCUCUCACUCAGAUCUGAUUACUCAGGUACGCUCUGCUCCGCUCUGUCUAUUUCUUUUUGUUUCUUGGAAUUUGUGGUUUCUAACUGAUUGAUUGAUUAUUAACUCUUUUUUUUAUUGCUCUGCUUAUCUACUCUUUGCGGAUCGGUUAGUACUUGGUGUUUUAUUUUUUCUUAUUUUGAAAGCACCUUUUUUUUGCUGCUCAUUUAUGGAUUUUUUUUUUUUUUAAUUUAGUGCAUGUUCUGAGAAUGUGACGAUUAAAGAUGCCUUAAUGAAUCUUUUUUAUGUAUAAUUUGCGUAGAGGUAGCUUAUUUUUAUCUUUUAUUUUGCAUAUGGUGAGGGCAUUGAGACUUACAUAUAGCAACAACUCUUUUGCUGGUAUCGAGGUCCUAUCAUCACAAUUGAAGAAGCUAGAGAACCUUGACCUGAGCUUUAAUAGAUUCGACGAUAGCGUUUUAUCACAUCUGUGUGGAUCUUCUUCACUCAAGUAUUUAAAUCUAACAGGCAAUAUUUAGGAUCAACAACUGUCAAUGGUAAAGUUGUGAAAAUUUAUUGGCAUCUUCUAGCUAAUUAGACAUAACUUUACCCAAACUUCAUUUUUUAGAUGCCAACCUAUUCAGCUCAUUUCUCAACAAUACAUUUUGAUAUUUUUAAAUAUCUCAAGCACAUCUCAACACAAAAACUUAAGAUGUAUAUUGGAUAAAACCUCAAGAAUAUGAUUUUAUUAUAUUCAUUAGUAGCUUGCUUUUUCAGAUGCUGUUAAUAUUAUGGGAUUAGUGAUUAAUUGCUCAUUGACUUAAACAAAAUCCUGCCGAGCAUCUUUUAUGGUAGUUGGUACCUCACUACCUCUAAAGCUCCUACUUAAAUACUGACCAUAAGCAUGUGAAAUUUGAAAAUCACAGGUAAAAUCAAAUCAAUCCACUUAGUAGUUCUCUUUAAAAGGUGUUCCCCUGAAAAUUUCAAAUAUGAUUUCAUUUUUAUUAUUUUAAAUACAAUAACAAUUGGCCAGUGACUGAUAUGGAUGAACUAGGUGGCAUUUCAAUAAUGAUGUUGUAUUUGUGACAAUAAUUUAUGAAUUAUCAUAGUGGGUUGUGCUGUGCAAAUCCAUGAGGAGGACAUGAAUUCUUAAUGUUUGGUUUAGCUGGUCGUAAUCGGUUUCUUCUAGUUUUGUCUUGAAUGUCAAAUGGUGUUUUCUAUGCCCGGAUGAGGGAGAAGUGAAUUUGUUGUGGAGUGUAGAAGGACUAAAAUAAGUUGAACUGGAUUUUUUUUUUAAUGAAUGAAUUAAUUGUAUGAUAGAUUCUGAUCAUACUAGAAAUUACUAGAAAAUCAAUUCUGUGGUGGCUUAAUUGUGUGACAUGGUGAUUUCUUAUUUUUAUCAACGAACUUAAGAGGGGUUUUUAAGGUUAAUAUUCCAUGGUUUAAUAUUACUCAAAAUAAGGAUUUGUAAACAAAUCCUAAACCGGCAACUGUGGUUUUAUGGAUGGGUUGUAUGAUAGAACAGCCGAAUCAAAAGCCUUUUUUUGAUGUCAAGUUCUGGAUGGUCCUUGUUACCAAUUGAGUUGAUAAAUUAUUUCAAUUAGGUAUAAUUUAUACAAAUUAGGGUAUAAGGAAACUAAUCAACUAGACUUCAUAGUUUCAUAAAGUAUACAUUUAAUCCAUCCAUUCUUAAAUUCGUUUCAAGUUCAUGUUAUUUUUCAUUUUUCAAUUUUUUUUUUUUUGGUUUUUUCUUGUUUUAAAAAUUAAAAAGAGAAGAGAAGCAGGUAAGUGGGAAAAGAAAGAAGGCAUGUUUGGGUUUUUUUUUUAAAAACCCUACUAAAUUGAAUAUGGUAAAGAGGUCAACUCUAGUAAAGGGGUUAUUUAAUUAUUGUCUAUACCACAGAGACUAAUUCAUUAGUUUUGAUAAACUAUAAUGAGUUAUUAUCCAUUAACUCCAAUUAUCUCCUUUAUUGGUUUACUACUGAACAAGAGAAGUGAUACAACUAUUUGUCUCUCGUCCCAUCUCAUUUCCUCUCUUUGCACCUCAGAAAAAAAAAAAUCAGUUCAGAAAGGCUUGUGUGAAUCUGAAAAGGCCCUUGGGAAUGGCAGCAAUUUACAGCCUUUACAUCAUCAACAAAUCAGGUGGUUUGAUCUUCUACAAGGUAAGAUGUUUACUUCCCUUCAAUUCGAUUACAACGGCAUUUUGGGGUGUGAUGCUUGAUUGGAUCAUGAUUGAAAGCAAUACAAGUGACUGACUACUUCUAAUAAUAACAAUUUGUGAUGUUUGAUGUUUGGGUUACUGUUGCAUUUUUUUUUAUAUAAUAAAAUAGGAUUAUGGAUCUUCUGGACGGAUGGAUACAAAUGAUAGCUUGCGAGUGGCUAGUUUAUGGCACUCAAUGCAUGCCAUCUCUCAGCAGCUAUCACCAACUGUUGGUUGUUUAGGCAUUGAACUCCUCGAAGCUGAUACCUUUGAUCUUCAUUGCUUCCAAUCACUCACUGGUAGCUACCUCAACCCUUUUAUUUAUUUAUAUAUUUAUUUAUUUACAAGCAUACUAGGUACAAUAUUAGAAAGAGAAAUGCUCUAUAAUUUACCAAGGUAUCAAUUUCGUAGUUAUUUGGUUAUUGAUAAGCCUGCCAUCUUAUGCUUAAUUGCCAAUUUCUUCUGUGUAGGAAUUUGGACACCACUUUUCUUAAUUUAAUGAACUUCAACCCUUUCAAAGUUAUUAUCAGCUAGCUGAUUGUUAGAUCCAAAUUUUUUUACCGGAAACUGCCACGUUCUGUAACAUAUGGAUUAUAGUGUUCUGAGCAUUGCUUGCUAUUUCCUAACUUUUGGUUCUAGUUAGCAUGCUUCAUUUUUUAAGGUAGAUGGGCUGGGUACUUGAGUAUUUAUUUGUGGCUGUUUUAUGUUCUUUAAAAGUAUCUCAAGUCCAUGUUUUUCAAACUAUGAAUUUGUAGUGACAAGCUCGUCGUUCCUCUUUGAAUACUUUUGAAUUUUCUUUUUAAACUUAUUUGGGUUUUUUCCCCUCUACAGGAACAAAAUUCUUUGUGGUGUGUGAACCUGGAACACAGCACAUGGAAGGCCUCUUGAAAGUCAUAUAUGAAUUGUACACGGAUUAUGUCCUAAAGAACCCGUUUUAUGAGAUGGAGAUGCCUAUACGAUGCGAGCUCUUUGACAUCAACUUGUCUCAGGCAAUACAGAAGGAUCGUGUUGCUUUAUUGGGGCGAUGAACUUUCUGGAUUUUGCUUCAAUAACUUUUGUUAUUUUUCAUUUUCAUUUGUGCAUUUGCCAUGAGAUCUUUCAAUUAUCUUUUAUGCUCUUCUUCUCCUUAGUGGCUGUUUGUUGGUGCGUUCAACUUGUUUUUCAUGAAAAUUUGAUUUUUUUUUCUUUAAAUUUAUUUUUAGUGUUUUCGGAUUGUUUUGAUGUGGAGAUAUCAAAAAUAAAAUAAAAAUUAUUUUAAUAUAUUUCCGAAUAAAAAUUAUUUUAAAAAAGUAACUGCUACCAGUCUACUAUAUUUCCAAAAACCUUCUAGUAUUUUUAUGAAAUUUGUGGGAUGUUGAUUGUUUAUGGAUGUCCAUCUGUGCAGGCGAAGUGUCUUUUCAAUGUUGCAGAAAAGUGCAAAAUUUGGCCUGCUUAAACAUCUUUUGCUCUUUGGAUGAGCUGGGGGUUUGGAGGGCAGCAUUUCCAAAAUGGGGAAACCCCCAUUUUUAGAGAAUUCAAAAAAAUUAUUGUAAUUUGGCUCCCUUCCCUCGCUGCAGAACCAGUUCAGGGUUGCAAUAAUGUGCGUAGGAUUGGCAUGGUUCGAAAACGUGCGUCUAUUUCGGCGCCGUUAUUUUUACCUCGUUAACAAACGGUUGCAAUAUCUAUUCUGAAUCUGAUUGGUGGAGAGAAAUUUAUGUUCUUUAUAGGUCUCUCUCGCACAAUUAAUUCUCUGUGAGAGAAUUUCUUCCACGUCGGAUCAAAGUGAAAUUUGAUUUUCAUUUAAGGUUUGUUUGCUGAUGUGGGGGGAGAGGGGUUUUUUUGGCUACGAGACGAUGAGGCUACCAGUUAAGAAACAAUUUAUAAACACUAUUUAUCCCUUAACAACUUAUAAUGGAUUCACGUGAUAAUUUUUUCCUGAUCUUUUAAUUUUUUUUAUCAUUUAUUUCUUUUUCAAUUCAAACCUUUGACAUUUGUUUUUUUUUUUUGAAGGUUAGAGUUUUAUAAAAAAAAUUUAUUUAAUUUAUUUUGGGUAUUAAGAAGAAAUCUAUUUCUCCUCUUGGAAACAUUGUCCAUCCUAAGUUAUUAUAGAUUCGUACACUCCUCACCUGAGAAGUUACUGUGAAUUCAUAGUAACUUGUUUUUUUUUUCCUUUCUAAUUUAGUCAUUUGAUAUUGUAUUUUUUUUUUUAUCAUUUGAAUUAUUUUUUUCCAAUUUAGUCAUUUGACAUUGUAUUUUUUUGGGAAUGAAUAUUAUAAUUUGUUUGUAUAUUAUCUAUAUUGGAAAAAAUAUCCUAACUUUUAAUUGGUGCUUGAAUUUACAAAACAAAAACCAGUUUUGUUGUAUGUAAGAGAUUUAGAGUUGGGGGAUAAGAAUGGCAAUUUUUUUAAAAAUAAAAAAGUAGUUCCGGCACCUUCUAGCCUUAAAAAUUGUCUAUAAAUCUCCUUUUUUGCUCUAUAUUUUUAUUAUUUUAUAAAAUCUUUUAUUAUAUUAAUAGGCCUGCGUGUUCAUUUUUUGGUGUUAAAAGAUAUUGGAUCUGACCCGUGAAAGAAGCAGAGUGACCUAACUAGAUAUUAUUAUAUUUAAUAUUGUUCAAUUUUUAUUGUGUUUUCUUAUUUGUGUAUAUAUAUAUUUUUUUAUUUGUGUAUAUUUUUUUAAUAUUAGUAAGUGUUGUUUUUUGAAACUCAUUAUAGGCGUUCUUUUUAUAUUAUAUUCGGUUAUUUUAUUAUGAUAUAAUCAAAUAAAAAAAUAAUUUUAAAAUAAACAAAAAAAAACUCGGUAUUUUUCUUUUCUUGUUGUUGUUAAUUAAUUUUCUUUGAUUAUUCAUAAUAAUUCCAUGCCCCAUGCCCGCAUUGUUUCUAUCACUCUCCUCCAGUUACUCGCUUGUCUCUUCUUUUGUAGUCGAAUUUACUCUCUCGCCCUCUCUCUCUAAUUAUACUCGUCGAAUUUUACUAAACCUCUCUUACCUGAUGAUAACCUGCUGCUUGGUAUUUCUGGUUUUUGUUGUUGUUGUUGUAUAUUUUUUAUUGGUUUUUUUAUCAAAUAAAAAAAAAACCUAACUAGUUUUCACAUAAUCAGUCAAUCUUGAACUAUUUUUUGAGCUUGAGAUAAAAGAGCCGAUCACCGAUGCAGACCUCGACUCAUGCGAGUUGACUCAAUGGAGAAGUUUAAGAGAUUCUACUAGAAAGUUUUAAGCAUUUUUAAGAACUCUUUUGGUUUUAUUUUUAAAAACCUUUUGUUAUAGUAUAUGUUUGAUAUUGUGGUAACUAUAUAGUUAUUUUUUUAAAAAAAUAAAUUUAAAAAACACUACAAAUUGUAGCUUCUUUACCGGCUUUUGAGUAGCCAAGAGUCGGACCUUCCAAUACGGUGCAUAUUUACAUUUUUCCCUCCUUUUAAUUUGUUUUGGUUGAAUUUGAAUGUGAUUUAAAAUUUUGGAAAACUAGCACUGUAAAUUGUUUUUAGAAAAACAACACAAUUUAAUAAAAAUCAUAAGUGAAAGGUAUGUUUUUUUAAAAAAGUUGUUGUUGUAAAGUGGGGCAUUUUAAACAAAGAGUUAAAAUGGCCUACAUAAAUUUCAAUAAAACAAAAAAGAAAGAAUGAGAUUCUAUGGAUAAGUAAACCUUUGAUGAGAAUAUCUUAAAAUCAUUAAAAAAAAACUUUAAUGAAAUGAAUCUAAUAAUAUUAAAAAAAUUAUUAAUAAUAAUUGAAAUGAAUCACGGUAUUUUUAAAUAGAGAUAUGUGAUCAACUUGUAUUUUUUGUAAUACGUGUUACCUACUCUAAUUAUUGUUGAUGAUUUUUUUUAUAGUUGUUAAAUUCAUUUCAUCAAAAUAUUUUUUAAGAUAUAAAAAAUGUCAUGAUCAAAAUUUUAUUAUAUUUUGGUGUUUCAUUCUUUUCUUUUCUCUUUUAAUUCCUUCAUUUUUCUUAAAAUUUGUAUAAGAUAAUUUUAAUAAUUUAUUUAAAAUAUUGCUACUUGAUUACGAGUUUUUUAGAAGUCGUAGUUUGCAUCUAUAUUUUUUAUUAAACUGUGUUAUUUUUUAAAAAUAAAAAAAUAAAAUUGCCAUAUUUUAAACAAUUUGCAAUUAUUUAAAAAAACACUCAAAUAUUUGUGAAAUAACAGAACUAUCCCGUAGCAAAAAAGAAAAGCAACACCCCUCCAUAAAGAUCCUAUUUAAUAUUAUAAUAAUAAUUUUAAAAAAAAAAUAUAAAAAUAAUAUUUUUUUUAAAUUUUAUUUUUAAUAUCGUAAUAUCAAAAUAAUUUUAAAAUAAAUAAAUAAAUUAUAACAAACCACGCGUUCAAAACAAACAGUAUCGAAGUCUAAUUCAAUACAACUGCCUGCCCUUGUAACGAGCACACUAUAAAAAAGGUCACGGGCUUGAUUACAGAAACCGUCAAACACAGCCAUAUCCAAAAGGUAAAAGAUCAUCCUCUCCUUUCUCUCCUCUAAUCCAUCUCCAAAUGCAACAAAACAUGUCCACAAAAAGACCCACCGCCAUCUUUCUCUUCCUCCUCCUUGCACUCCUCCACGACCGAAUCCAUGCAAGCCCGAUAAAAACUGUAGUGGUAGUAGUGAUGGAAAAUCGUUCUUUUGAUCACAUGCUGGGUUGGAUGAAGAAAAUCAACCCUGAAAUCAAUGGUGUUGAUGGCACUCAAUGGAAUCCAUUGAACAUAAGCGAUCCAAGUUCGCAGAAAUUCUUCACCAACAACCAAGCUCAGUAUGUUGACCCUGAUCCUGGCCACUCUUUUCAAGCAAUAAGGGAGCAAAUAUUUGGGUCUGAAGACACAUCCAAGAAUCCUCCUCCCAUGAAUGGCUUUGCUCAGCAGGCUUUCUCGAUGGACGCAUCAACCAGCUUGUCUCGGGAUGUCAUGAAUGGAUUUGAGCCUGAUGUGGUAGCCGUGUAUAAGACACUUGUAUCUGAAUUUUCUGUCUUUGACAGGUACAGCUACUUUUUUGUCGGUCCACUUUUAAGUAAUUUACUACAUCAAGAUUCCGUUUCAAUGAUUUCGAUGUAAACAUACUGAUAUUUCUCUACCCGAAAAUAUAAUUCAGUGAUGUCUUUAUUAAUCUCAGGAAUGCCCCAAUGGCAACUAGAUUGAAUUUCAGCUUAUAUUCUUCUCAUAACAACAAAUCAGAGAGAGAGAGAGAGUAUUUGAUGGAUAUGGUUUUCAUGUUGAAAUCAGUAGGAAUCUGAUUUUUUUUUUUUUAAAAAAACAAUUAUUGCAAGUGUUUUGAAUAUGACACAAUUUUAUUUUUUAUUUUGAGAAAAUAACGUGGCGUUUUAAUCCUCCAAAUUAAUAUGCGUGCGUGUUUAUACUUGUAUAUCUUUUAUAUAUUUAGGAAAAAAGAGGUUUUUUUGGAAGUAUUCAAUUAAUUUAUAAACUUCGAAGUAUCCACUUAGCUAUACUUUUUGGUUAAUUUAUUGCACAAACAUUUGUAUAUUGUUGACAUGAUUUCGCGAUUACUAGUAAAAGCACAUGCGAUGUCUAAUUUAACCAAAAAAAAAACAUCCUGCCCUGUCAGGUGGUUUGCUUCUGUGCCAUCAUCCACACAACCCAACCGUCUAUUUGUUCAUUCAGCCACAUCCGCCGGAGCCACCAGCAACAUCCCGGCAUUGCUCGUCAAGGGGUACUCUCAAAGAACAAUUUUCGAGAACCUUGACGAUGCUGGAAUAUCUUGGGGAAUAUACUAUCAGAACAUUCCCGCCACAUUGUUUUAUAGGAACCUAAGGAAGCUCAAGUACAUCACUAGAUUCCAUCCUUAUGGCAUGUCGUUUAAAAAACAUGCAAAACAAGGCAAGCUUCCUGGUUAUGUCGUGCUUGAGCAGCGGUACAUGGACAUCAAGAUAUCUCCUGCCAACGACGAUCAUCCUUCCCAUGAUGUCUAUCAAGGGCAAAUGUUUGUCAAAGAGGUACUCAUAAACUUUUUUUAUAUAUAUAUUUAAGUCAUUCGUACGUAUUCACAUAUUCCAUACACGUUCACAAGUAUGCAAAGAUUGCAUUAAUUAAUCUUUCAUUAGAGAGUCUACCUCAUUAUUGAGAUUGUUCUGAGCUAUAGUUUCUCUUAAAACGGAUGUUUACUUUUCUUUUCUUUUUCAAAUUGUCAAAAAUUAAUGUUCUUGUGAUUGUCAAUAUUGCAGGUGUACGAGACACUAAGGGCAAGUCCACAAUGGAACGAAACUCUAUUGGUAAUCACAUAUGACGAGCAUGGUGGGUUCUAUGAUCAUGUGGCUACACCUGUGAGUGGGGUCCCUAGUCCCGAUGGGAUUGUGGGACCUGAGCCAUUUUUUUUCAAGUUUGAUAGACUUGGGGUUAGAGUUCCUACAAUCGUGGUCUCACCUUGGAUAGAGAAGGGAACCGGUAAGUAGCAUAUCACUUUCAAAUCUCAACCAUCUCUCUCUCUUUUUCCUUUUUAGAGAUUUUAGCUUACCGAACAGGAUAAUAUCAUCGCGGGCAUCAUAUUCCUAGCAUUAUCAUGUAUGAUCAAUGGCUAACUUUACUUGAAUGUUACUCGCAGCAUCACCUUUACGUACGACUAACUGUUAGUUUAUGUGCAAGAUAUAUAUGCUACCUAUUUCACACUGCUUUUGAUACGAAAAGAGAACAGGUGACCUUCCACUUCUCUCGUGUUUUUAGUACUCAUCCAUCGUCAAUGUAUAUGCAAUGUGAAACGAAAUCCUUGUGGAUGAAAAUCAGGCUAGCAAAAAGUGAGAGUUGCCAAUUUGUCACUUCUCUUCUUUUUCCCAACCAACGAAACAUGCGAGGAAAUUAAUUAUGGGGUGGUUAGGGUGUCGUUGAGUCCUUUCCCGUUUGGACAGAAACUUCGGGAAAACUGGGUGCAAGUUUUUUUAUGACACCGUCUUAAAAGUUGCAUGUAGUUGAAAGAAAGAGCGGAAAGGUGGUGGAUUUCUGCUUUGUUGCUGAAAAAGGUUUUGCGUGCAAGAGAUCGAGGAAUAUGUAUCACUAACUAAGCCAACAGGUAGCCUAACAUGAGCACGGAUCUUCAUCGAUCAUGCUUUUCUAGUUUACUUUUCGAGAUUGAGUCCAUCAUAUUGUGGGCCCGUGAUAAAACCCAAAAGUACUGGGACUCGAACGAAAAAUAGACCGAAAUUUCAAGCUUCUUAGCAUAACGUUAGUAUCAGAGGCAGUUCCUAUGAUUAUGAUCAUUUUGUAGCGAUUGAUGUUGUUUUCUGAAAACUCAGGAUCUCGAGUGUGAGUUUUUUGAAUGGAAGGCAUGGCCAUUUAUCAAUGUAUAGCAUCAUCAUGCAAUGCUUUUGCUGAUUAUUGACAAAUGAAAAAAUUAACCAAAAAUUGAUAAAUGUUACUUCGGCAUGGUGAUGCAGUUGUCCAUGGACCCAAUGGGUCACCAUUUUCAACUUCAGAAUACGAACACUCAUCCAUUCCUGCGACGGUGAAGAAGCUCUUUAACAUGCCCUCUCCUUUCUUGACAAGGAGGGAUGAAUGGGCGGGUACCUUUGAAGGAAUCUUACAGACUCGGACUGAGCCCAGAACUGAUUGCCCAGGUCAGUCACCUAACUCGUUUUCCAAGCUGAAUUCUUUAGCUUUUUGCUAACUGUUUAUGUUCUCAUCCGCUCUUCUGAAUAGAGCAACUACCAACUCCAACUCAGGUCAGGAAGAGCGAGCCCAAUGAAGAUGCCAAGCUUACUGAAUUCCAGCAGGAGCUACUACAGCUUGCAGCUGUGCUAAAAGGAGAUCAUAUUUUGACGAGUUACCCUGACAAAAUAGGGAAGGAAAUGACAGUCAAGCAAGGGAAUGAUUACAUGGAGGAUGCACUGAAACGAUUCUUCGAAGCAGGACUUUAUGCUAAAAGCAUGGGAGUCGAUGAAGAACAAAUUGUUCAAAUGAGGCCCUCCCUCACUACGAGACCAUCCAAACCAACCAAUCAUCCAUGAAGAUCGUUGUUACAUGCUCGGCAACAUUAGCUAUUGUAUCCACAGCUAAAAAAAAGAAAAAGAAAAAAGAAUUCCUCCUUUUCUUACUCUACUGAGAGUGUUUUAUAAUGAUAUUGAGCUUAGGAUUACUAGAUCCCAGGAAAAAAAUCCAUUACCCUUACAAACCCAGAAAAGUUUUAAUCGGUGCCGACACAUUAACAAAACGCAAUUGGAUAGCCAUAGAGAUGGUUUCAAAUUUUAAUCCUCAGUCCAGGACUCAUAUGAUUGAAACCUAAAGCUUGCAGAAUAAGAGCUCUAUGGGGUUCACUUAAACCAUGCCAGCCUGGAGAAACACAGAACCACUAAAUCUCACACCUCCAAAGUCAGACGCACUCUUCAUGGUUAGAUAUAUGUUUUUAGUUAUCUCAGAGUAUUGUUCAUCAAAUUAACCUGCCCACUGGCUUUCAGGACAACUUCUUCGCCAUUGUUUCAUAAACAGCAAGGAGCAUCACAAACUGUGAAAGCAAGAAAGUCUCAAUUUACAGGUCUGAAAUAUUCAAAAUUAACUCAGCACUAUCUCAAGUGUAGCAGAUAUGUGUACAAAAAGAAUUCAGAGUCCCUGAUUAAUUCACAAAGUGUCACUAACCAAAGAUCCCUCUUUUGUGAAGGCAUUCCUAUUUUCAUAUACCACUCUUUUGUUACCGAGUAGAUCGUAUAAGUGAAUCUCUUCUGGAGGAUAUUACACUGAACCACGAAUCAAUGUGCUCAUGAUCCACAUAUAGAUCUCAGCCACUGUUCGAUGAGUCCCAGCCUGGAAUGUUAGCUGUAGCCUCAUUCACCAUCUUUACAAGUCUCACCUGCAGAGAAUCAUGAUGAAUGGAUUGUUAAGUCAAUGAGAGGGACGGGGAGCAAAUAAAGUGCCUUCGCAUCCAUGGUCUAUGUUUUAUGCAAAUGACAACAUAGUAUAAUGACUUGUAAUCCAGAUAUGAAUCCCCAUCUUAACCAUCAGUUCCCAUGGGAUAAGUGACUACGAAAAACAGUAUAUAUAACAGAACCCUUUAUUUCACACCGGAUAAGGAUGACAUCAGAGACCAAGAAUGCUUUGAUAAACUUAAUGUAUGUAUGUUUUGGUUUCUUUUCACCUAGGAUGUUAGGUCCAUGUAGUUUUUCAUUGUGUUGGAUGGAGACCAAACAAGGCUUUUGCUCUAUACUACAUAAUAACAUAGACAGACAGUUUCACAUUGCAAGUGAUCAGGAUGGUUAGCAUGCCAAGUUGAUAUUACAUAUGGUUCGAUACAAACCAAAACCUUGACAAAUAAAUGGUUGAUGUAAACGAUUCCAAUCGAUGCAUCAAAUAGUUUAUUAUAUGCAGCUUUUCAGGGAAAUCAUCAUGGACAAUGCAGGUUAGCCUUCUACAAAUUAUCAAUUCAUUAUUUAAUUUUUUUCCUUCUGUACAGGGAUGGCAAUUCUCUUGUACAUCUCCAGUGCAUGGAUAAAGCCCAGUUGGCUACUAAUUCGUACAUACUCCUUGAAAAACAAGUUCAACCCAUGCAUUCAAGCAUCCCCAUUAUAGCACGUAAACAAAUAAUUGCGUCUGUGUGAGGGCCAUUUUGAGAAAGUUGAACUUGGCCAACUUAUUACAACCUUUAUCAAAUAUCGUAAGUUUUAUCCACAAGUGCUGUGUAUUCUAGUUCCAGGUAGACUUAAUUUUAAUAUUUUUCCUCCAAGCCCACUCAUCAAACAUGAAUUUUUUGACAUCAGUAUAAUAUGAUUUCCCCAAUUGUCACUUGUAAAAAAUCUAGUUGUGAACAUACCACGCUUUCAGGAACUCCUGGUGGGGGCAGGGUGAGGUUCUUUGGUGGAGGACCACUGAGAUAGGAUCUCUUGUCAAACCGCCAUUCUCCAAUCUUUCCAUAUGUUAAUUCUCCCUGAAAAAUCAACAAAUUAUGGUAAACAAACUAAGAAUCAAAUAUCGGUUGUUUUUAUGAAACUACUUGUCAAAAACAAACAAACAGAAAUAGAAGGUGAAGAAUAUAGUUAAAACAUCAAAAUCAGAGGAGAUAAGAGUAAAUAUGAGAGAGAGAGAGAGAGAUCCCUUUCUUUACCUUCAUAUUAUAGUCGCAUCCAUAAGUAUAGUGGAUGAUAAAUCUCUUACCAACUUCCAAAUCCCAUGGAGGCUGAAACAUAAAUGGAUAUAGGCAACUCUUUAAAAAUGACUUCACAAAAUAGAGAGAUACAAGAAGCAUUAGCAUAUGCCAUAGAUACCUGUAGCAUAAAGUCUUUACGAAGUAUAUGCCGUACACCAUGCAAUGCUGAUGCUACAGCAUAGGCAUACCUUAUAUCAACAGAGACAUGUGAGCAACAUUGAAGUAUUCCAACCAUUCAAGAAUUAAAUUUCAUUAGCAAAAUAGAAAGAAUCAUAUUAUAUAUUACUCACAUCUCUAGCACCCAACCAAAUGCUUUAUCAGUCUCUGGGUCAUCUUUCAUUCUUAACGAAACAUUCAUCCAUGUUGGCGCAAUUUCCUCCAGCAGGGACUGUAAAGAUACAGGUAGUUCAUCCAAUGUUAAUAUGGAAAUAUUGUUUCAAGUAAACGAAAAUAGUCCAUCUCAAUGGUCGCGAUAAUAGUGAUAUUCUGACAACAAGGACAGUGGUGCUUCGUAUAAACAAUGGUUAGCACUAUGGGUUUCUAACUGAAUUUCAAAUUAUAUUCCCUCAAUAUUGGGAUUCUGAUAACAAACAUGGAAACACAAAAUAUUCUCAGAAGUUCAAUUGGUUUAAACUGGCUGCAAUUGCAAUAAGAGUUGUACCUUUUUUAUUAUUACAGGGGAAUUGCCAAUUGGAUCAACAUCCGUCACAGGACCCUUCUCCUCAGGAUAAAACUUUCUAACAAUUUUCUGAUGUUCAGUUGGUUUAAUAUAGAAAAAUGGAAACCCUGCUGGAUUAUCUCCAUGUGCCAAGUUAGGCAAAGGAUUUGCAAAUAUGUGGUCAGGCUCUGCCAUUAGAAUGUAUCUGUUUUUAUCACAAAGUGCUUCUGUAUCAGUCUUAUAAUCACCAGUUGUCAGAUGUCAUAAAGCAAAAGCAAGAAAAAAAGAAGAAAAUGAGGACCAUAACUUUAAGAACUUACUCUUCCUCAAUUGUUGCCUUUUCCAGCCAUUGCACAAAAGCCCAUGGUCUAUUCAAGACAAUAUAUCCCUGGACAGAGCAUGAAAUGGCCAUAUGAGCAAAUUGUGUAAUUAACUAAUUACUGAUAGCAGUAAACCAUGAGCAGAGACUGUUUUCCUCUAAGAUUUGGAAAAGGCAGCGAUUUGGCUGGGAAACACAUUAAGAGUCUGCAUCACUGCUCGCAUAAGUCAAUCUAAAACAACUUUGCAUAAGAAAUGUCAAGUUUGAUGGCAUGCCCCAGAGAUAUAAUGGAAUAAAAUGAAAAUUGACUCAAUAUAAUUCAUGCUAUUGAUGCACAGAACACCUCCUGGAUCUCUUUAUAAAUUACCAAGAACAUUUUAAAUUCACAAUACUACAAUAUGUAAGGCUAGAAGCAAAAUCAAAAAAACAUCUGAGACCUAUAAAUUUCCCAAAGCAAAUUCAAGUUCACGAUAAUUUUAACUUGGAAAUCAACAUGUAACUGAAUAAAAGCCGGUGAAUAAAUAUAAGCAACAGCGAAAGUGAAAACAGAAAAUCUCACCCGAUCUCGGCCCUCUGGAAGAGGAUCAACAACAAAAGUUGGAAUCUCAUCCAUCAAAUGAUCACCUUUCCCCGAAUGCAAAACUCGAGUGAACUUCCCCAUGUCUGAUCCUGGCAUGCUUUUCAUUUUCUUAUACCAAUAAUACAUAAUCCGGCAUUGCCAUUGACUAUAAGGAGCAUCAGUAGCCGUAAGAGCAACAUGGAAUUUCAAAUUUGACUUCCCUAAUUUCCAAGAAUUGGCUGGCAUCCCUGUAACAGGAUCAGAAAUCCCUGAUCGAAGUCCUGUACUAGAAUCCUUAUAUUGUAUUACCAAAGUCAACAAGUUAUACGUGGCAAAGAAAAACCCUAGUGCUAAAAGCACCAAUAGCAAUGGCGACGCUCGCCCCAUAUUUUUUCUCCCAAUCAUCUUGAACCCCCCCCAAUACACAGAAACUAAAUUCCAACUCUCUUCACAAUUCACAAAGUCAAUCAAACCUCAAUUAUGCUAUCUACAAUAGCAUUUAAAUACAAAUCCAGAUAUUAACAUAUUUAAACCACUCCAAUUCACAUCUCCAACACACAAUUUCACCAGCUAAAACUCCACUAUCUUUUCAAAACAUCCAAUGGGUCAAUCACAAACUUAAAUAAAAAGCCACGAACCAAUCUGCAUUAUAAUAACAAUUAAACAAAAAACAACGAGUCAAUAACAUAACACAAAGAUAUACCACCCUGUUCUCAUUAUCAAACAGAGCUUAAACAUGAAACCAAAAAAGAAAGCAUAAGUCUUGGUGUCAAACAAUGAUAACUCUAAUGCAAAAACAAAACCCAGACGUCAAAAAAUGAAAAUCCAUGCAAGAAUCAGAGCUCAAGCUCAUCAAAAUAAAUAUAUAAAAAAUACACAGAUCUGUUGAAGGGUUUUUCCUUUUUGUUUACCUGAUCAGAGAGGAGCAAAAGAGGAGAUUCUGGGUUUAGUCAACUCUUUGCUAAAUGAAUAACGCGGAGAAGGUUUGGUUGACAUCAAGCGAAACUGAGAGAGUUAGAGGUAACUGAAUGCUUAAUAAAUUAAUUAAUUUAUUGUGAGUAUUAAAGAAUAAAAAUAAUGGCGUUUUCAAUACUUGUCCAUCAAUUAAUUAGGUGGAAGCUGAUGUGGCUAUGGCUGGAUUUAAGGAGGCGGCGAGCAUUUGGAUUUAGUUCGUGUUUACCGUAUUUUAUAAAAUUUUGAAAAUUCAUUUUUAUUUAUAUUUUUAGAUUAUUUUAAUAUACUAUUGUCAAAAUAAAUUUUAAAAAAUAAAAUAUUAUUUUUAUAUAUUUACAAACAAAACAAUACUUUAAAAAACAAUUCCUUCCACCCUCCAAACACUACCCUAAAGAAUUUUCUUUCUAAUUUUUAAAUAGCGCAUUUAAAUUUGUCUCAAGUCCUAAAUUCGAAACCUAAUUUUGUUGUAAAGCAAAAACCACAUCAUAAUAUAAAGAUGGAAGAAUAAUUGGAUAGAAGGAUCGUCAGCUAGUAGCCUGGUACAAGGAUAAUGAAUUCGGAGGCUAGGUUUCCCUUUUCUCAAGACAAACAAGAGGGGUCUCGAGAUCGCAGAGCCCUGCUCUCGUGAGUGCAAGUUUAUGAAUGGUGUUUCUCGAGUUGAAAAUGACCUCUACCGACUGAGGGCGUUGAUUUUGACCAAUCAAAUUUAUGUAGAGGGCUCAGCAUGAGAUAUUAUAGUCAUAAAUUCUUACAAGCUAUAAAUCGAACGACAACCUUUUCGGUACCCUCAUAAAAUAAAAGGGUUUGAAAGGGUCUUCUUGGCCCUUGCGUUGUAGCAUCCUAACACGUCAUGUUCAAUAUUGAUAUUCUACAAGCAUAGAUAAUGACCGGUUAAAAUUCAAUUUAAUUAAAAAAUAUAUUUUAAUAUGUAAUUUUUUUUAAUAUUAAGAUAAUAAAAUCUUAAAAUUACUAAAAUGCUCAAAUUAACUUAUCAAACUUAUAAUUUGGUUCAUAAACUUUACUAAGUUUAAUAUUUUUUUUUAAAAUAAUUUUUAUUUAAUUAUAUAAUAAUAAAAAUAAAAAAUAAUAACAAAGAAACUGAAUAAGCUAGAUAAAAAAAACAAUGAAUUAAACAAAAAAAACAAGUUGUAAUUAUUUUUUUUUAUUAGAAAACACAAUAAGAAAUC